rnacentral:rRNA from 1 species
AAAGGAGCAUCCUGAGUAAAGUGGCGUACUGGUGAGUAACACGUGGAUAUCUACCUCUUGGUGGGGAAUAACCUGGGGAAACCUGGGCUAAUACCGCAUAAGUUCGUGAGAAGAAAGGCGCAAGUCGCCGAGAGAGGAGUCCGCGGUCGAUUAGGUAGUUGGCAGGGUAAGAGCCCACCAAGCCAAAGAUCGAUAGCCGGCCUGAGAGGGCACACGGCCACACUGGCACUGAAACACGGGCCAGACUCCUACGGGAGGCAGCAGUGGGGAAUCUUGCACAAUGGGGGAAACCCUGAUGCAGCGACGCCGCGUGAGCGAUGAAGCCCUUCGGGGUGUAAAGCUCUUUCGGCAGGAACGAUAAUGACGGUACCUGCAGAAGAAGCUGCGGCUAACUACGUGCCAGCAGCCGCGGUAAUACGUAGGCAGCAAGCGUUGUUCGGAAUUACUGGGCGUAAAGAGUGUGUAGGUGGUGUCGUAAGUUUGGUGUGAAAUCUCCCGGCUUAACUGGGAGGGUGCGCCGAAGACUGCGAUGCUGGAAUAUGGGAGAGGAAAAGCCGGAAUUCCCUGGUGUAUCGGUGA